AGUGAACGCUGGCGGUAGGCCUAACACAUGCAAGUCGAACGGCAGCACAGAGGAGCUUGCUCCUUGGGUGGCGAGUGGCGGACGGGUGAGGAAUACAUCGGAAUCUACUCUGUCGUGGGGGAUAACGUAGGGAAACUUACGCUAAUACCGCAUACGACCUACGGGUGAAAGCAGGGGAUCUUCGGACCUUGCGCGAUUGAAUGAGCCGAUGUCGGAUUAGCUAGUUGGCGGGGUAAAGGCCCACCAAGGCGACGAUCCGUAGCUGGUCUGAGAGGAUGAUCAGCCACACUGGAACUGAGACACGGUCCAGGCUCCUACGGGAGGCAGCAGUGGGGAAUAUUGGACAAUGGGCGCAAGCCUGAUCCAGCCAUACCGCGUGGGUGAAGAAGGCCUUCGGGUUGUAAAGCCCUUUUGUUGGGAAAGAAAUCCAGCCGGCUAAUACCUGGUUGGGAUGACGGUACCCAAAGAAUAAGCACCGGCUAACUUCGUGCCAGCAGCCGCGGUAAUACGAAGGGUGCAAGCGUUACUCGGAAUUACUGGGCGUAAAGCGUGCGUAGGUGGUUAUUUAAGUCCGUUGUGAAAGCCCUGGGCUCAACCUGGGAACUGCAGUGGAUACUGGAUGACUAGAAUGUGGUAGAGGGUAGCGGAAUUCCUGGUGUAGCAGUGAAAUGCGUAGAGAUCAGAGGAACAUCCAUGGCGAAGGCAGCUACCUGGACCAACAUUGACACUGAGGCACGAAAGCGUGGGGGAGCAAACAUGAUUAUAUACUCCUUGUAGUCCAAGGGUGAUUUCCACAUGGGAUGUCAAGGCCUAUAGAAACCGCCGAGGCCGGAAGGGGAGAACAUAAAACAAGAUUUUUGUUCCCUUAAUGGGGGGUAAUUACUUCCUCUCUUUG
rnacentral:rRNA from 1 species